UGGAGUUGCGGCAGCCAAGAGAAGGAAGUGACUCAAGAAGGAGGAGGUGUUCCGCUGCAGGAAAACCUGCUGGCCGGUUGCCGGCACCCUGCAAGGACAGUCUUGGUUAGUUUGAGGCAGGAACCCAAACACAUGACUGAGGAGAGAAUCCCAGGUGAGCAAGGGAGGGGGACACGGUGUGAGGGACUUUGUUCUAGAUCAUAGAGAUACUAGAGCAUUUGGUGUGUUAACAGAGAUAAUCAGGAGAGAGGAGACAACUGAGGAGGCAGCGGGGCAGGAGAGAAUGCAGAAGUAAUGUCCUUAGAGAUGAGGUUGAAUGAGAUCUAUACAAACAAGUGGGGACCUUGCUGAUAUGGAUUAGAGUCACUUUUUCAUAAAAUGAAGAAAUAUAGAGAGGACAUAGGGUGGUAGUUGGUAUGGGUGGAAGUGGUUGUUGUGGGUGGCUGGUGUGAAGUAGCAACCAAAAUCAUAAGCUGAGAACAACGUGCAGGUGUGGAGAAGAGAAUGUAGGCCCUCCCUACGAGAGAAGAUGUGAAGCCGUCAUUCUGUAAAGGACAAAGGACGAUAGGAUUGUAGAAACGUUUUUCAUGCAGUUUGAGAUCUGUCACCCUGGGCUGAAAGUCAGGGCAACCUGCAAAAUGGUGUGUUUUCCUCCCAUACUCCUGAGGUACAGGCCACUGCAUGGACAAAGAAGUGAGUUAGUGAGGAUCGGGCCUGGAUCAGAGUUAAUAGAUGGUGAGCUUCCUCCACCUUUUGGCAAUUGUGGAAAUGCUGCUGUGAACACGGCUGUUCAAGCAUCUCCUGGGGAUCCUGCUGCAAUUCUUUCAUGUAUGUACCCAGAAGUAGAACCGACCGAUGGACCAUCUUAGGAAACAUUACUGUCGGAGGUUGUCACUGUGCUGCCUCCUCUGCCAGGCUGCAAGCUCCCCGAGGCUGAGACUCUCCUGCUUGAUCCUGCUGCACCUGUAGACCUAUAGACCUCAGAACAGAGUGGUCCUCCUGGGAAAGGAGAUGCACGGCCUCACUCACUUCUCUACUUAUGUACCCUGCAGUUACGCUUCAGGCUUCUUCUGACCGUCAGACACUAUCUUAAACUCUGGGACAGGAGAGUGGAAUAAGACGUGGCCUUCCUAGGGACAGUGACAUGUGAACCGAGAAAAUAAAUCUAACAGGAAAAAGCCCGAGCAAGGUCAUGCACAGGAGCACUGGGAGCCCAGGAGGUGAACUGUCACCUGCCUGGAGAGGGGUCUUCAUAGCUGGGCAUGGGGUGUCCACCAGGCUCCUAGCUCGGGCUCCUGCUGUCCGAAAGGGUCAGGAAAAUGGCUCAAAUGGGGGAAAUUGUGGUUCAAACAAUGGAGCCUGGAGAGGUCCGUUUGCCUUCUUCCAUGGGAAUGUCGCCAUCCCGCCCGUGACCCUGUGGGCUUCGGGAUGCUGAAGGGAGAGUGGAGACUCUCGGGGUUCCUGGAGGAGACGGUGUCUGGGAGGGAGGCGGCAGUGUGACAGAGGCCAGAGAAGGCACUCAGCAAAAGGCUAUCUCAAAAGCCACUGUGGGCUUUUAAGUAAAUUCUCGAUUACAGUUACUCUAAUGGGCUUAAUAAGUCUGCAAUUUGGAGCCAGGAUGUUCUGGGUCAGUUGUCCUGGGGCUCAGAGAAAGACUCCCUUUCUUUCUGCCUUUAAGAGCAGUAAUAAGAACAGGGCCCCUGCUCCCGUGAAUUCUGUCGGUCCUCACUCCGUGGGUUGGGACCUCUUGCCCAACCAGACAUGGCCGCCUCCCCUGGAGUCCACUAGUGGGGGCAGCAAAUGGGAGCAGCAGAGGACAUUCCAGUGGGGGUGAGUGUCCAGGCAGCUGCUGCCGAGCAGAUCUGGAGUCAAACCCUGCUUCUGGGCCAUGGUAACCAGGAGACCUUGCGCAGGCCAGUCCCCUCUCUGUGCCUAGGUUUCCUCAUCUGUAAAAUGGGGUGAAAGCCACACCCUCCUCUCAGUGUCGGAGGAAUGAAUAGUCCCAGUGGAUACAAGCCCCUGUUGGCCACAGAGUGGAUGUUUUUUCCCAUGAUGGUCAAACUCUCCCCUUUGGUUUAACUUUGCAGGUGGGGAAGAGGGUGAGCUAGUUGUGCUGCAUCCCUUAGUAACAGAAUUGCUGACACAGCGAGAGGACAAGAUGUGGCCAAAGGAACACCUUGGAUUGGAGUCAGAAAGACCUGCCUUGCGUCACCUGUGGGACUGAGGCUCUGAGCCUUGGGGCUCUUCUGCUGCCGGGGGUGACAGUCUUCACAGCAGACAUUCUCUCUGCUCAAAGGGUGACUGACUGACUGACGUCAUCAGAGGAGGUUGCUUGUGUACCCCCCUCACCUGGCCCUGGUGCCGUUCUCUGUCCCCCUCACCCUGCCUGUUGUACCAUGUGACAAACAGACUUCCCUGUCUGUUUACUGUCUGUCUCCUCCAGUUACAAUGCCAGCUCUUGGGAGCAGAGGAUCUCUGCCUUGCUCACUGCUGCACCUCCAUAUCCUAGAAGGGCCCUGGCACAGAUGGGGUAUAUAAUACGUAUUUGUUGAAUAGCUGCGGAAUGAAACUGUCUUAAAUUCUCGGAUUAUUCGUGAGACUAGAAAUAGCCACCUCUGGGGUUAUUGAGGGGCUAGUUUACGUCAAAUGCAGGAGGAUGUCAGUAAAUGGCCAUGAUGAUAAUGACGGUGAUCAGACUGUGUCUGCAUACCUUCCCGCCUGGCCCUGCUUCUGAGAGCCGGGGUCAAAGGAAGAGGAUUUGGAUCAUCAUUCCUCAGAUCUGGCAGCAGAUCAGUGUCUCCUGAGGAGCUUAGGAAAAAACAUCUGUCCAGGCCUUGCUGUGGUCAUUCCGACCCAGAUCUCUGGAUGGAGCUCAGGAAUCUGUGUAUUUUAAGUCUGGAGUGGCCAGGGCAUUUCCCUUGCUGGAGUUAGAAAGGACACAAGGCCAGAGGGAGUUGUCAGGAUGGUUGUGUUCCAAGGAGGAUCCUGAGAAGGAAUUCCUACCUGCUGAAGGUGACACAGGACAUGGAAAACUCACUGUCACCAGGGAGAAAAAGAAAGCAAGAACUACUGACCAGUGAGAGCUUACUGGCUAGGAGGGCCACCUCCGUCAGACAGAAUACGUAACCCAGCCACACACAGAGCCGGUCAGGCGUGUUUCUGGGAGUGAAGAUGAGGAACACAAUGUGCUAUUUACGUUUCUGCUUUUAAACCUGACACCCUGGUAGCAGGUAGGAAGUGAGUGUUUGCAAACCCUUUGCAUUGCUGAGUGUUUAAUCUUUUAAUUAUUACUCUCGGUGUUUUUACAGUGUCAUGGUAAUAGGCAAACUCAUGGCCUCUUUCUAAAACUUUAUUUCAUGCAUAGAGUGUUUACACAACUGUGAAUCCCCCACAGGGCAAAAUACUGGGGCCAAAAGUUAAACCCAGAGGGUAAACAAACUGAAAUCAUUCUGUGUUUACAGUAAAGUAAGUGUAUACGAAAGCAAGUGAGCUGAUAUUUUCUUAGUAAUUAUCCAGAUCUGUGCUGCCCAAUAUCAUUGCCAUUAGUCACGUGUGGCUAUUUAAAUUUAAUUAAAAUUGAAUUAAAAAUUUAGUUCCUCAGUCGGCGAGCCACAUUUCAAGGGCUCCCUAGCCGCAUGGGGCUGGGGACUACAGCCUUGACGACAGAAAUACCGAACAUUUCCAUCAUCACAGACGCUUGUAUUGAACAGGGCUGGUGGGAAUUCUCCAGAAGAGCGUGGUUUAAGCAAACCACGGCUGGCGUAUGGAAAUCGGCAACCUGUGAUCAGAAAAGACACAGAAGGUGUGCUGUUGAGAAAUGCGAGUCUCAACACAAUCUUCUGUAGCUUUUGAAAACAUCUUAGCUAUUUAAAAGGGAACUGUCAACUGUGGAUACGAGAAAAUGGUCUCUGCAUCGAGUGGACAAUAAAAGUGGCAGGAUGUUUGGAGGCUCUACCCAAGAGGGGCUUUGCUUGCACAGGGAGCAGAAGGCCAGCCUUUCACCUCCCCUACCUCCUGAGUGAGGAUGGCCCUGCGGAGAGCAGCGUGGGCAGCAGGUGGGUCUAGCUUGGCACCUGCUUGCUCUUCCCGAUGAGAGGAAAUCAUAUUGGUUGGUCACCUCUCCUUCCUUAUCCAGGACAAGCUGGGGUCCUCAAAGGGAUGAGGUGUGCUGCCCACUGUCUUGGAACCUGGCCUAUGUCUGAAUGAAGUGAGCUUGAGUUGUCUCAGCAAUAAAACGUGUCCAUCUGUCGGAGAGUCCGAAGCCUGAACAGAUGGAGGACAGA